rnacentral:rRNA from 1 species
GGGGAAUUUUGGACAAUGGGGGCAACCCUGAUCCAGCCAUGCCGCGUGAGUGAAGAAGGCCUUCGGGUUGUAAAGCUCUUUCGGUCGGGACAAAAACGCACAUGUGAAUAUCAUGUGUGGAUGAUGGUACCGACACAAGAAGCACCGGCUAACUACGUGCCAGCAGCCGCGGUAAUACGUAGGGUGCGAGCGUUAAUCGGAAUUACUGGGCGUAAAGCGUGCGCAGGCGGUUUUCCAAGACAGGCGUGAAAUCCCCGGGCUCAACCUGGGAAUUGCGCUUGUGACUGGGAGGCUGGAGUACGGCAGAGGGGGGUGGAAUUCCACGUGUAGCAGUGAAAUGCGUAGAGAUGUGGAGGAACACCGAUGGCGAAGGCAGCCCCCUGGGCCGAUACUGACGCUCAUGCACGAAAGCGUGGGGAGCAAAC